UACAUAAGGAGCAAGCGUUGUCCGGAAUCAUUGGGCGUAAAGAGCGUGUAGACAACCAGAAAAGUCCGCUGUGAAAACUCGAGGCUCAACUUCGAGCUGUCGGUGGAAACUUUCUAGCUAGAGUCCGGAAGAGGAGAAUGGAAUUCCUGAUGUAGCGGUGAAAUGCGCAGAUAUCAGGAAGAACACCCGUGGCGAAGGCGGCUCUCUGGGACGGUACUGACGCUGAGACGCGAAAGCGUGGGGAGCGAACAGG
rnacentral:rRNA from 1 species